rnacentral:rRNA from 1 species
AAUGGGCGGAAGCCUGAACCAGCCAUCCCGCGUGCAGGAUGACUGCCCUAUGGGUUGUAAACUGCUUUUAUCUGGGAAUAAACCACUCUAUUUAUGGGGUGUUGAAGGUACCAGAAGAAUAAGCACCGGCUAACUCCGUGCCAGCAGCCGCGGUAAUACGGAGGGUGCAAGCGUUAUCCGGAAUCACUGGGUUUAAAGGGUGCGUAGGCGGCCAUGUAAGUCAGAGGUGAAAGGCUACAGCUUAACUGUGGAAUUGCCUUUGAUACUGUGUGGCUUGAAUAAGGAUGAGGUUGGCGGAAUGUGACAUGUAGCGGUGAAAUGCAUAGAUAUGUCAUAGAACACCAAUUGCGAAGGCAGCUAACUGGGCCUUUAUUGACGCUGAGGCACGAAAGCGUGGGGAUCAAA